UACAGAGGGUGCGAGCGUUAAUCGGAAUUACUGGGCGUAAAGCGCGCGUAGGCGGCUUUGCAAGUCGGGUGUGAAAUCCCCAGGCUUAACCUGGGAACUGCAUUCGAGACUGCAUUGCUAGAGUAUGGGAGAGGGAAGUGGAAUUUCCGGUGUAGCGGUGAAAUGCGUAGAUAUCGGGAGGAAUACCAGUGGCGAAGGCGGCUUCCUGGCCUGUUCUUGACGCUGAGGCGCGAAAGCUAGGGUAGCAAACGGG
rnacentral:rRNA from 1 species